GGAGGAAAAGAAACCAACAGGGAUUGCCUCAGUAACGGCGAGUGAAGCGGCAAAAGCUCAAAUUUGAAAUCCCCCGGGAAUUGUAAUUUGAAGAGAUUUGGGUCCGGCCGGCRGGGGUUAAGUCCACUGGAAAGUGGCGCCACAGAGGGUGACAGCCCCGUGAACCCCUUYAAMGCCYUCAUCCCAGRUCUCCAAGAGUCGAGUUGUUUGGGAAUGCAGCUCUAAGUGGGUGGUAAAUUCCAUCUAAAGCUAAAUACCGGCGAGAGACCGAUAGCGAACAAGUACAGUGAUGGAAAGAUGAAAAGCACUUUGAAAAGAGAGUGAAAAAGUACGUGAAAUUGUUGAAAGGGAAGGGCUUGCAAGCAGACACUUAACUGGGCCAGCAUCGGGGCGGCGGGAAACAAAACCACCGGGGAAUGUACCUUUCGAGGAUUAUAACCCCGGUCYYWAUUUCCUYRYYRYCCCGAGGCCUGCAAUCUAAGGAUGCUGGCGUAAUGGUUGCAAGUCGCCCGUCUU
rnacentral:rRNA from 1 species